AGGUGUUGUGCAUGUGUAUUUUAGUAAGGCGUUCGAUAAGGUUCCUCAUGGUAGGCUGAUUCAGAAGGUGAACAGGAUUCAUGAGGACUUGAUUGUACGGAUUCAGAACUGGCUUAUUCAUAGAAGUCAAAGGUUGUGGUGGAAGGAAGAUAUUUUGGCAGGAGGUCUGUGAUCAGUGGAUCUGUACUGGGGCAU